rnacentral:rRNA from 1 species
GAUGAACGCUGGCGGCGUGCCUAAUACAUGCAAGUCGAGCGAAUGGAUUAAGAGCUUGCUCUUAUGAAGUUAGCGGCGGACGGGUGAGUAACACGUGGGUAACCUGCCCAUAAGACUGGGAUAACUCCGGGAAACCGGGGCUAAUACCGGAUAACAUUUUGAACCACAUGGUUCGAAAUUGAAAGGCGGCUUCGGCUGUCACUUAUGGAUGGACCCGCGUCGCAUUAGCUAGUUGGUGAGGUAACGGCUCACCAAGGCAACGAUGCGUAGCCGACCUGAGAGGGUGAUCGGCCACACUGGGACUGAGACACGGCCCAGACUCCUACGGGAGGCAGCAGUAGGGAAUCUUCCGCAAUGGACGAAAGUCUGACGGAGCAACGCCGCGUGAGUGAUGAAGGCUUUCGGGUCGUAAAACUCUGUUGUUAGGGAAGAACAAGUGCUAGUUGAAUAAGCUGGCACCUUGACGGUACCUAACCAGAAAACCACGGCUAACUACGUGCCAGCCGCCGCGGUAA